CACGUGAUGACCGUCCAUCUAACGUCUGCUGUCACUUUCAUGCCAUACCAGGGACUACUGCGGCUAGUCAACACACUUGGUCAUUGACAGGUGUCGCAGAAAGACGGAUCUGCCGCAUCUGAAGGUGUACUUACAACUGACAAGGCUGCCACUGCUGGACGAGUUAUCUGCCACUGAAAGAGUUAUCUGCCACUAAACAAGUCAUCUGCCGCCACUGAACAAGUCAUCUGUCGCCACUGAACGAGUUAUCUGCCGCCACUGAAAGAGUUAUCUGUGCCUGAAGGACUCACCAUCCUGUACCCACAAUGGUUCUCACAAUGAGGGGUCUUUUUGCUCUGCUCAUCUUUAUCCUGGUGAUUGGCAGGCCAGCGACCGGUCAAGGCGAGGACUGUAAGAUUGAAGCACAGCCCAUGAUGCCACUCUUCAAGGUCAAGGAAAUCUUUGGGACCGGGCACCAGCAGGAGCCCACGGAUUCCAGGAUCGUCUCACACGAACCCAUCAUCCCUCCCCCUUUCAAAAAACGUUAAACGUUUACCCCAAACCCAUCAUCCCUCCCCCCUUCAAAAAACGUUAAACGUUUACCCCAAACCCUUCAAAUCAUGCAUCAUCGAUUUUUUAAAAAAUAUCCUAUAUAUACUAUCAACAUUUAUCAUCAACAUACAAGGAACAUUUAACAUUUGAUAUACGUAUAACAAUAUCAUCUAUAUACUUUGAACAUUUAUCAACCCCAUACUUUCAACAUUUAUUGUCUACAUACUUUUAACAUAUACCAACAACAUACACUCAACAAUAUCCUCCAUUGACUUUCAACAUAUAUCAACAACAUACACUCAACAAUAUCCUUCAUUUACUUUCAAAGUUUACCAUAUGGGAACUUUUAACAUUUAUCAACAUCAGACCUUCAGCGUAUUGUCUUUAGCUGUUUACAUUUCGUCCGCUUGAUGUUUGUGUAAGAAAUGCAAGUAUCGUAAUUUAACAUGUAGAACACUAACGUCAUAUAACUUGUAUUGGGAUAUUAAAAGACAAAACGACAACA